GUGCUUGAUUUGGCAGCACAUACACUAAAAUUGGAAUACAGAGAAAAUUAGCAUGGCCCCUGUGCUAGGGCGACAUGCAAAUUCAUGAAGCCUUCCAUAUUAAA